rnacentral:rRNA from 1 species
CCAGUGAACGGCGGCCGUAACUAUAACGGUCCUAAGGUAGCGAAAUUCCUUGUCGGGUAAGUUCCGACCCGCAUGAAAGGCGUAAUGAUUUGGGCGCUGUCUCAACAAUAGACUCGGUGAAAUUUAAAUUCCAGUGAAGAUGCUGGGUACCCGCGACAGGACGGAAAGACCCCGUGGAGCUUUACUGUAGCUUGAUAUUGAAUGUUUGUGCUGCAUGUGCAGGAUAGGUAGGAGACUUUGAAGUCGGAACGCUAGUUUCGAUUGAGUCACCCUUGAGAUACUACCUCUGUUGUAUGAACGUUCUAACUCUGAUCAGUUAUCCUGAUCGAAGACAGUGUCUGGCAGGCAGUUUGACUGGGGCGGUCGCCUCCUAAAAGAUAACGGAGGCGCUCAAAGGUUUGCUCAGAAUGGUUGGAAAUCAUUCGUAGCGUGUAAAGGCAUAAGCAAGCUUGACUGUGAGACUGACAAGUCGAGCAGGUACGAAAGUAGGACUUAGUGAUCCGGUGGUUCCGUAUGGAAGGGCCAUCGCUCAACGGACAAAAGCUACCCCGGGGAUAACAGGCUCAUCUCCCCCAAGAGUCCACAUCGACGGGGAGGUUUGGCACCUCGAUGUCGGCUCAUCGCAUCCUGGGGCUGUAGUCGGUCCCAAGGGUUGGGCUGUUCGCCCAUUAAAGCGGUACGCGAGCUGGGUUCAGAACGUCGUGAGACAGUUCGGUCCCUAUCCGUCGUGGGCGCAGGAAAUUUGAGAGGAUCUGUCCUUAGUACGAGAGGACCGGGAUGGACAUACCUCUGGUGUACCAGUUGUUCUGCCAAGAGCACCGCUGGGUAGCUACGUAUGGAUUAGAUAAUCGCUGAAAGCAUCUAAGUGAGAAACUAACCUCGAGAUGAGAUUUCCCAUUCGUCAGAAGUAAGACCCCUGAGAGACGAUCAGGUAGAUAGGCUAGAAGUGGAAGUGUAGUGAUGCAUGGAGCGGACUAGUACUAAUAGGUCGAGGACUUAACCAAG